AGAAACUCCUCCAGCUGCAUCUUUCUAUGUACCGAAACACGAAAAAACACAGCGCUUUUCUCUGUGAGCAUAGCUUCACUCAUACAGACUCCUGUGAAGAAAGGUGAGCAGCUGAGGAAGGCAGCUAAACGAAGAACUUUGAAGAUGGUUUCAAGAUACCAGCUGGCUACCAGACAACAUGGACAACUAAUCCAGCGUACACACA